UGGGGAAUUUUGGACAAUGGGCGAAAGCCUGAUCCAGCAAUGCCGCGUGUGUGAAGAAGGCCUUCGGGUUGUAAAGCACUUUUGUCCGGAAAGAAAUCCUUGGCUCUAAUACAGUCGGGGGAUGACGGUACCGGAAGAAUAAGCACCGGCUAACUACGUGCCAGCAGCCGCGGUAAUACGUAGGGUGCAAGCGUUAAUCGGAAUUACUGGGCGUAAAGCGUGCGCAGGCGGUUUGCUAAGACCGAUGUGAAAUCCCCGGGCUCAACCUGGGAACUGCAUUGGUGACUGGCAGGCUAGAGUAUGGCAGAGGGGGGUAGAAUUCCACGUGUAGCAGUGAAAUGCGUAGAGAUGUGGAGGAAUACCGAUGGCGAAGGCAGCCCCCUGGGCCAAUACUGACGCUCAUGCACGAAAGCGUGGGGAGCAAACAGGAUUAGAUACCCUGGUAGUCCACGCCAUAAAACGAUGUCAACUAGUUGUUGGGGAUUCAUUUCCUUAGUAACGUAGCUAACGCGUGAAGUUGACCGCCUGGGGAGUACGGUCGCAAGAUUAAAACUCAAAUGAAUUGACGGGGUCAUAGCUGUUUCCU
rnacentral:rRNA from 1 species